UACUGUUGGCUAUAGAGCAGGCCGACCUGCUGCAGGAGGAAGCUGAAGCCCCACGGAGUGUCCUGGAGGAGAUUGGCCUGACAUAAACUCCCUCCAUCACUGCCCCAACUAUCUCCCUCUCUUUAUUAUCUCUCUCUCUUCACGGGGGCCCAAACAUCUUGUUCUCGCUCCUUUGAUGUGCUGUAGUGUUGUCUUGUACUAAAACUCUUAUCAUGUUGUUAAUGUUA